UACGUAGGAUGCGAGCGUUAUCCGGAUUUAUUGGGUUUAAAGGGUGCGUAGGCGGACUGUCAAGUCAGCGGUAAAGUUGAGAGGCUCAACCUCUUCCCGCCGUUGAAACUGGUGGUCUUGAGUGGAUGAGAAGUACGCGGAAUGCGUGGUGUAGCGGUGAAAUGCAUAGAUAUCACGCAGAACUCCGAUUGCGAAGGCAGCGUACCGGCAUCCAACUGACGCUGAGGCACGAAAGCGUGGGGAUCAAACAGG
rnacentral:rRNA from 1 species